rnacentral:piRNA from 1 species
ACCCAGAGGUUGUAUGCAAUGGUGCUUGUC